rnacentral:rRNA from 1 species
CCUACGGGAGGCAGCAGUGGGGAAUAUUGCACAAUGGGGGAAACCCUGAUGCAGCGACGCCGCGGGCGUGAAGACGUAUUUCGGUACGUAAAGCUCUAUCAGCAGGGAGGAAAAUGACGUUACCUGACUACAAAGCCCCGGCUAGCUACGUGCCAGCAGCCGCGGUAAUACGUAGGGGGCAAGCGUUAUCCGGAUUUACUGGGUGUAAAGGGAGCGUAGACGGCAGCGCAAGUCUGGAGUGAAAUCCCAUGGCUUAACUAUGGAACUGCCUGUGAAACUGUGCAGCUCGAGUGCAGGAGAGGUAAGCGGAAUGCAUGGUGUAGCGGUGAAAUGCGUAGAUAUUAGACGGAACACCAGUGGCGAAGGCGGCUUACCGGACUGUAACUGACGUUGAGGCUCGAAAGCGUGGGGAGCAAACAGGAUUAGAUACCCCUGUAGUC